rnacentral:rRNA from 1 species
CGCGAAGAACCUUACCAGGUCUUGACAUCCCUCUGAAUAUUCUAGAGGUAGAGUAGGCCUUCGGGACAGAGGAGACAGGUGGUGCAUGGUUGUCGUCAGCUCGUGUUGUGAGAUGUUGGGUUAAGUCCCGCAACGAGCGCAACCCUUGAUCUUUGUUGCCAGCACAUGAUGGUGGGCACUCUAAGAUGACUGCCGGUGACAAACCGGAGGAAGGUGGGGAUGACGUCAAAUCAUCAUGCCCCUUAUGACCUGGGCUACACACGUACUACAAUGGUCGGUACAGAGGGCCGCAAUACCGCGAGGUGGAGCAAAUCUCAGAAAGCCGAUCCCAGUUCGGAUUGUAGGCUGCAACUCGCCUACAUGAAGCCGGAAUUGCUAGUAAUCGCGGAUCAGCAUGCCGCGGUGAAUACGUUCCCGGGUCUUGUACACACCGCCCGUCACACCACGAGAGUUUACAACACCCGAAGUCGGUGAGGUAACCGCAAGGAGCCAGCCGCCGAAGGUGGGGUAGAUG